rnacentral:rRNA from 1 species
UACGUAGGGGGCUAGCGUUGUCCGGAUUUAUUGGGCGUAAAGAGCGUGUAGGCGGCCAGACAAGUCUGCUGUGAAAACUCGAGGCUCAACCUCGAGCUGUCGGUGGAAACUGUCUGGCUAGAGUCCGGAAGAGGAGAGUGGAAUUCCUGGUGUAGCGGUGGAAUGCGCAGAUAUCGGGAGAACACCAGUAGCGAAGGCGGCUCGCUGGGCCACAC